rnacentral:rRNA from 1 species
CAGAACGAACGCUGGUGGCGUGUUUAUACAUGCAAGUCGAGCGAGGACGGUAGCAAUACCGAGCCGAGCGGCGAACGGGUGAGUAACGCGUAAGCAAUCUGCCCCACAAUCGGGAACAACCGUGCCAACGCGCGGCUAAUGCCGGAUAUUGUAGUCUACUGCAUAGUAGGCCAACGAAAGAUUUAUUGUUGUGGGAUGAGCUUGCGUCCGAUUAGCUAGUUGGCGGGGUAAUAGCCCACCAAGGCGACGAUCGGUAGCCGGCCUGAGAGGGUGAUCGGCCACAUUGGGACUGAGAGACGGCCCAAACUCCUACGGGAGGCAGCAGUAGGGAAUUUUCGGCAAUGGGGGAAACCCUGACCGAGCAAACCGCCGCGUGAACGACGAAGUACUUCGGUAUGUAAAGUUCUUUUAAGAGGGAAGAAUGGCCCGUGGAAAAGCGGGCGUGACGGUACCUUUUGAAUAAGCCCCGGCUAACUAUGUGCCAGCAGCAGC